ACUUACCGCCAACAUUUGAAAAGAAUACCGUUUGCGUUGCGUUGCAGUUUAUUGAGCUCGAUCGAGAAGUGGGACGAAGAAGGCCGUUAAUAAUUCAACUACUUAAAGAAUGCGGGUUAGAUGUGGACGACUUCGAAGACAUUUGCAGUAGGCUAAACAGAGAAAGAGAGGGAGACCCAAAACUACUUGUCCUGGCAUCACAUUUGAGGAGGAGAUGGAGUCGGUGAAUAUGACCUAGCCCGGGGGAGUUUCCAGAAGACGGCCCAGAACCACUGGCCGCCAGGAGUGGAGGUCCUUUGUUGUUGCUCUACAUGUCAGGAGGCAUCGGGCAGUAGCCCUGGUAGAAGCACCAUCUUGAUACCAUCAUUCAAACUCUCAUCAGCUGUAUCAUUAUAGGUGGACUAAAAGAACAAUAUUCAUGCAGAUAUAAUGAUGCCUUAAGUUGAAAUGGAAGGUGUCCUGAAUCUGCACCCAUUCAUCUGGUUUCGUAACUCCUUUCAUAGUGCUAUUGGAACCUGCUCCCUACCAGUAUAACAUCAAACAGAUUGGAAGAAUAAAGGCCAAUGGGAAGUGCCUUUUAUAUUUCUACUUGCCACAAAGCAGUCCAUGGUUUAGCGCAAUCUAAACUGGACUAUUGUAAUGCUCUUCGUGCUUGAAUUAGGGCGAUCUGGACUGACUGCAGAUAGUACAGAAUGCUGCAUCUAUUGUGCCAUUUGCCAUACGCCAACUUCGCUGGCUGCAAGUCAAGGAAAGGAUAUACAUGAACAUCAGUGUCCGUCUCCUGAUUUUCAAAGUCAAUGACAGAGAUCCAGAUUACAUGUAUUAUAAGGAAUCCCUUGUGCGUCAUUUUCAUUCUAGGCGCACUUGCCUUUUUAUUUUUGUGAUCAUUACGCACCUACAAAUUAGCUACUGGUGAUGCAACUUUCUCCACUACUGCUCCAAGGCCAUGGAAUUAGCUCCUUCCUCUCCUCCAGUUGUCAACAACCUUGGAUCAAUCCAAAUACAAUUUGAGAAGACCUACUAUAUUCCUGAUCUUUGCUCUGUACCUACAACAAUACUGUCACUGCCUGGUAAUUUGAAUUUUUUUAAAUCUCAUGUGCUGACUACAGUAGGAUGGCGUCUCAAUUCAUCCAAAUUAGACAAGGGAUAAUAAAGUAAUGUAUGACAUUCUAACCUCUGCAUUAUUUUGGUGAAAGAACUCUAAGCAUAUAUGCAAGAAGCAAGCUGAUGAUGUCAUACUGACGUACAUUGUACAUGUACACGUAUCCCCAACUUAUUAUUUUGUAUAUAAAAUUGUGCAUUUAAUUUUGUUUACCAAGAAUGAAACAAAUCGGAUUGUAAACUGUAUUGAUGUGACUUACCUGUAUUGAUUAUUGCUGGAAGUUCUUUUGCUACAUGGGAUUGGAAGACAUACUUAUUACACACAUGAAGUAAAUUAUUAUUUUAUCUGGUAACAUGAGAACAAUAAAAAUGUGGGCAUGAUAUCAUAAACUUACAUGUAUCUACUUGCAUGUGUUGAUGACCAAUAUUUUUGUAAUUAUUUUUUUUUUAAUUUUAUCUGAUUUUGAUAAAAUUUUCACUAUUUUGCAUGGUAAAAAUUACUUUAUUUUAGAUUAUGUUGAGCCUGUAUCAUAUACAAGUACAACUUUAAAGAUAAAUUACCAGUUGUAGUAACAAUCUUAAAAUGAGUUCGAACAGAAUCCAAUAGAAUUACCAGCAAAAUAUAAAAGACAUGUGCCAUAAUUAAUUAUAGCUCGGGAAGAAAAUGUGUAAUUGCUGAGAAAUGAGCAAAAUAAGCAUGUAAUUCUAUCCAAUGUCAGGUAUUUUUCAAAUCAAUCAUAAUACACUGUCCUGUCCCACAUGUUCUUUUCUGUGUUAGUGAUCAUCAAAAUAAUUAAUUUUAAGUUCAAAAUUAGUGAUUUUACAAAAAUACAAGCUUACAUUAAUGUACCAGAUCUAGAGAUUAUGUACAAUAUUUUGACAAUUUCUCAUGAAAUAAUUGUUUGCUGCAACUGCUGUCUUUUUAAUACGUUUAAGUGAUAGUGUAAUACAACCACAAACUUUUCUUAAGAAUUAAUGUACAUGUAUGAUUCUUUCACCCAAAUUUACAUGCAUUGAUACUGUUGACUACUUGCCAAAAGUUCCUGCCAAAAGCCUUUUUUAACGAUGUACAUGCUUUUAUAGACGACCUGCCAAAACAUUGUAUUGUAUUAUAUUCAAGGUCCAACCAAAAAGAGAUGAAUAAAAUGUUUGAAGGAAAUUGAAAUUAACUUUUAAAAUGAUAGAGCUCUGUCAAUGCAGUAUUAUUACAGGGUUCCCACAGUCAUGGAAAAUCCUGGAAAAAAAUUGGUCAUGGAAAGUCAGGGAUAUGUGAAAAGUCAUGGAAUUGCAUUUACCUCUUGGCUAUGACAGCUUUCUAGUUUUUUAUGUCUCACAACUCUCAUACUCUGUGAUUGUACUCUACUAUUAUAAUUGGUGUUCAUGAUCAUAACAUGUCUGAUUUUGUAAACUGUGCCAGAAAGGAAUUAAGUCAUGGAAAGCAGCAAUUUAGUCAUGGAGAGGUCAUGGAAUUCUGUUUUCAAAUUUCUGUGGGAACCAUGAAUAGGUUUGUGCACUUGACACAGUGUGCACUACAGAUGAACUUUGUAAUGCCAUGAUAUAAACCAGUACAAUAUCUUAAAGGAAAAUAAAACCCAAAAUAUAAUACCACAUGAUACCAUUGAUAAAUACAGGACAAUGAAAAUGAAUCCACUCAUAUACCCCCAAUCCGAUGUCCCAGUAUGGAGUACCACCUUUUCAAAGUUGGCAUCUUCUGGUACAAAGUCUAUGGAUGGGGAUUAUUCCGUCAGCGAUGAACUACAUCUCUAAACGUUUGGGCAUUAUAUAUUCUAUUUCAUCGAUAAUAAAUCAAAUGUACAGAUAAAACUCAUAAAAUAUUAAUUAAAAUUUGUUUAAUAUUAUAUGAUAGGUUCAAAUUACGACUUGAUGAGUUUUAAUGAUAAAAAUUACACCCUAAUCUACGAUUUACAAAUUGGCAGCGGAAAUUGGGGUGUAAAUCUUAUCAUUAAAACUCAUCAAAUUGUAUUUUGAACCUACCAUAUAUUAAACAAAUUUUAACUAAUAUUUUUAUGAGUUUUAUCUGUACAUUUGAUUUGUUAUUAAUAAAAUAGAAUAUAUAAUGCCUGAACGUUUAGAGAUGUAGUUCGUCGCUGAUGUAAUAAUUUCCUAACUAACCCCGCGAAAAUGGCGACCUCCAUCCAGAAACUUCGAACCAUACUGUAAGAGGCCAACUUUGAAAAGGUGGUACUCCGUAAUUGGAUUAGGGUAUGAGUGGAUUCAUGUUGAUUGUCCUGUAUUUAUCAAUAAUAUCAUGUGGUAUUAUGUUUUGGGUGUUAUUUUCCUUUAAUUCAGAUAUUACAUGCCAGGGUAUUGUCCUAGUUUUCAUUUUCUCCAAAUACAUAUUAUCAUCUCUCGUCUAUUUCUACUUGCCCUUCAGCCUUGAAGUAAACUUGGGAUAAUUAUGCAUUUUGUUAUACGCAAUUUUGAGUACAGUGCACUUUGCCGCAGCUACUUAUAUAUUACCUAUUGUAGACACAUCCUUAUGUUUUGUUCAUUUUCUUAAAAACGAUUAAGAGUUUAAUCAUUUUUGUCUUUAAGCAUAAAACAAAGAGUAAAUCAGUCCAUUCUGUAUGUGUGACCUGCAAAAAAACUACAAUGGUCGUUAAUUUGGUUUGCUGAAAAGCCAGAUAACCUUUGAGGUAACUUUUUAAAGUAUUUAGAAGAAAUGUAUCUUUUUUAAAAGUAUUUAUAUGCACUGUAACUAAUUUCUUUGAUAGUUACUAUUAUGUUACACUGUUUGUACAGUAAAGCAGCUGUUACACAAUUUUUGUCAAUAGCAAAUCUAAACCAGUAUUGUAAAUUGAUGACUCUAUGAGCUAAAUACCAGUACUUUCUAUAUCA